UCAUGGCUAGUGCUCUACCACUUGAGCCACAGUACCACUUUUGCUUUUUCUGUUUAUGUGGUGUGAGGAAUCAAACCCAGGGCUUCGUGCAUGCUAGGCAAGCACUCUACCAUUAUGACACAUUCCUAGCUCCAAUUUUGCAUAUUUUAAAGUACUAU